CUUUUCUUAUUCAAUUGCUGACGACACAAAUCAAAAAUCCCAAACUCUCUCUCUCUCUCUCUCUCUCCCCCAAAAUUCUAGGGUUUCGUAAACGCUACCCCUGAGGUCCCAAUUAUAUAUAUAAAACCCUAAUUAUUCUCGAUUUUGGGUGUCUAGGGUUCCGAUUUGCCCGAGGUUUUCUUCAAUUGGUGUUUGGCUGCCGAGAAAGUUUGCGUUUUUAGGGGCUUUUUUUUUUCUGGUUCGGAUUGACUGAGAUUGAUUUAUUAUUCUGUGUUUUUGGUAGUGGAUUUUUAAAAUUGGCGUUUGGCGGCGGAGGGAGUUUGGGUUUUGGGGGCUUGAUUGAGUGGAAUUGUUGUCUUUGGAUUGGCGUUUGGUUCUCGAGAUAGUUUGGGGGUUUAGGGUUUUGAUUUUUUUUUAGGGGGGAAUUGAUGGCUUCGGCGGGUGAAGAUGACUUGGAGUAUGAGAGCGAUCCAGAGGACGUGAAGCGAUCGUUGUCGAUGCGGAGGAGAGAAGCGAGUGAUGAUGAGGAAGCUGAAGAAGAGGGGAGAGAGAAGACGAGGGUGGAUCCGAGGGCUGUGAUUCAUUCCGAUGAAUCAGACGGUCAGGGUGGGGUUGCGGAGUAUGACGACGACGAAGAAGAAUUGGACGAAGAAGAGUUAUUAGAGGAAGAGGAAUUAGUGGAAGAGGAAGAGGAAGGACUUGUUGAGGAAGAAGAAGUGGGGGUGUAUGAGGAAAGAGUUAGCGGUGGUGGUGAAGGAGAUGCACGUGUUGGGGUUGAGAAUUCAGCGGUUGCUGUGGUGAAUCAAAGCAAAGUGCACGGUGAGGAAAGGCGGGCAGUGGAUGAAUCGGCAGAGGGGCAAGCGGAGGGUCAGGAUGGGGAGGAAGAUGAGGAGGAAGAGGUAGAGGAGAAGAAGGAGAAUGAGCCCUUUGCGGUACCCACUGCCGGGGCUUUCUAUAUGCAUGAUGAUCGAUUUAGGGACAAUGCUGGUGGUCGACCCAGGCGGACACAUGGUGGAAGGAGGCUGUGGGAGUCCAAAGAUGAUCGUAAAUGGGGGCAUGACAAGUUUGAGGAGAUGAAUUUGCAGGAAAGGCAUUAUGACGAGGGUCGGAGAAAUUCCAAGGCUCAUUAUCGAGGCCGUGGUAAAAGUCGAGGUACUGAUCGAGGGUAUCCAAGAGGGAAUAGGUCUAAAGCAUUUAACAAUAAUAAUCAGAGCCAAGCACCUAAGGGUGUGAGGCGGAGAGGGCCCAGACGCUAUGAACCUACCUAUAGAAACAGAAGUCAGGCACCUCAAACUGAAAACAGACAAUCUGGGAAGCCUCUUGAAAGAACUUCCCAUGCUAACUCUGGGAGAGCUUUCACAUCCACCUCAAAUGUGGAAUCUGAUCCUGUUCCUGAGAGGAGACAAGUGUUCUCAAGCUUGAACUCUGCUUCUCCUCCAUUUUACCCUUCAGGCUCUUCCAAUAAAGACAUCGCACUGACGCAGAAAAGGGAUGUUCAAGCAGGUAGUUCCUACAGAGGUCUUCACCCAGCUGUGAUGGAUGACGGUUCUUCUGUCCAACAAACCAAUUCAUUGCUGCGGGGGAAGAAUAUAGCUGAAUCUGUUGGCAUGGACAAGCUUUACAUUGAUGAUUCCAUCAACACUGGUGCUGGGAAGCCUUUGUCUAAUAUGCAAAUGCCACUUUCUGGAUCCUCAUUAGUCAAUACUACACAAUCUCCUCCAAUCAGGGCUCAGGGAAGGGGUUUAUCUAUCCCAGGACAAAUGAAUUAUCAACCGGGCCCGCCUCAUAAUCAAGUCAAUAGAGUUUCUUCUUCAACACAACUCCAUUCUGUUCAGAAAGGUCCUGCUCAAAGUAGAGGUCAACCUCCUGCACAGCAGUCAAGCCAGCGGCCUGGUAGUGGUUCUCAAUCUUCCUCCCCACCAAAAACGGCUCUUUCAAUAAAUUCUAACGAAUCUGGAGAAGCCGAAUCUCCUUCAGAGUCAAAUAAAUCUAAAAGUGCAUUGGUUGGAAAGGGAAAAGCCAAUACACAAGGUGCUGGAAGGGGAUCUUUUAUGUAUGGUGGGGUUCAGGUUAUGGGAGCUACUGGGAACAUGACAGUUGGUCAUGGAGAUCAAAACUUCCCUGGAACUCCAGCCUUUUUGCCAGUAAUGCAAUUUGGAGGCCAGCAUCCUGGUGGUGUUGGAGUUCCUGCUGUUGGCAUGGCGUUUCCUGGUUAUGUUGCUCAACCACAACUUGGUUUGGGAAAUUCUGAGAUGACAUGGCUACCAGUUUUGGCAGGUGCAGCAGGAGCUUUGGGGGCUACAUACUGUUCACCAUAUAUUGUUGACGGUGCUUAUCAUGCUCGCCCUUCAGGGCAGACAUCUUCUGUGGGUGCCUCAAGCAAAGAAAAUAAUUUGAACAAGCCCAAUAAUGAAUGGAAGCCUUCACAGAGGCCUGAACUUGUAAGCGAUGAAUUUGGGCAGCGACAAAAUAAGCCCCGCAGAUAUUCAGAGAUGAACUUUGGAAAGUGAAGUACUUAGAUAUGGAUCCUGUUCUAAUAAGCAGAUAAAGGUUUAAUACCGCCCAAUUAAACUUUUGUGUUGUCUGGGUGUCACAAAAUUCUGAGUUGUGAUUGCUUGGUGCUGCAGGCCUUCCUCCAGGCCCUUUGUGAUCUCCAGCCUUUGUUCUGGAGCACUUUGGGCCGCAAUAGGUUUCAUGAUAUUUUAGUUAUAUAUGACAAACACCUGCUCAUGCUGCACUAAAUAAUUUAAAAACAAUAUUGUGGCUUGACGGGUGGCAGUUCCUUUUUAAACUUGCGGUUUUCUUGUGGUUUGGGUUUUUUAUUGAAGCUUGUGAGAAAUGUAAGCCAGCUUCCAAAACUAUAAAGAAAAGGGAAAAAGAACAACAUUUAUUGUGCAGCAGCUGUUUGCUUGGUGGAGUUGAAUUCUUCUAUUUAUUUAUAUAAAUGGUUUGGGGUUUUUAUUAUUUUUUUUCCUGACAAUAACAAGUUAAGUUUAUUGAGAGACCCUUUCCAUGUAUGGGAUUUUUCUGGAGUCGACUAUGCUGUGGGGAUCUUGCGGUUAGAGUUUUAGUUGAUCAUGGGACUUUCAUAAUAGUAUUUGGUGUAAUGAAAGGGUACUUGAUGUUUUAGUGAGCUAUUAUCUGUGAUUACUGAUGUUUUUCUAGGUAAUGCAACGCUUGGCAAUAAUUAUUCUGUU